rnacentral:rRNA from 1 species
AAAUUGAAGAGUUUGAUCAUGGCUCAGAUUGAACGCUGGCGGCAGGCCUAACACAUGCAAGUCGAGCGGUAGCACAGAGAGCUUGCUCUCGGGUGACGAGCGGCGGACGGGUGAGUAAUGUCUGGGAAACUGCCUGAUGGAGGGGGGAUAACUACUGGAAACGGUAGCUAAUACCGCAUAAUGUCGCAAGACCAAAGUGGGGGACCUUCGGGCCUCAUGCCAUCAGAUGUGCCCAGAUGGGAUUAGCUAGUAGGUGGGGUAACGGCUCACCUAGGCGACGAUCCCUAGCUGGUCUGAGAGGAUGACCAGCCACACUGGAACUGAGACACGGUCCAGACUCCUACGGGAGGCAGCAGUGGGGAAUAUUGCACAAUGGGCGCAAGCCUGAUGCAGCCAUGCCGCGUGUGUGAAGAAGGCCUUCGGGUUGUAAAGCACUUUCAGCGGGGAGGAAGGCGUUAAGGUUAAUAACCUUGGCGAUUGACGUUACCCGCAGAAGAAGCACCGGCUAACUCCGUGCCAGCAGCCGCGGUAAUACGGAGGGUGCAAGCGUUAAUCGGAAUUACUGGGCGUAAAGCGCACGCAGGCGGUCUGUCAAGUCGGAUGUGAAAUCCCCGGGCUCAACCUGGGAACUGCAUUCGAAACUGGCAGGCUAGAGUCUUGUAGAGGGGGGUAGAAUUCCAGGUGUAGCGGUGAAAUGCGUAGAGAUCUGGAGGAAUACCGGUGGCGAAGGCGGCCCGCUGGACAAAGACUGACGCUCAGGUGCGAAAGCGUGGGGAGCAAACAGGAUUAGAUACCCUGGUAGUCCACGCCGUAAACGAUGUCGAUUUGGAGGUUGUGCCCUUGAGGCGUGGCUUCCGGAGCUAACGCGUUAAAUCGACCGCCUGGGGAGUACGGCCGCAAGGUUAAAACUCAAAUGAAUUGACGGGGGCCCGCACAAGCGGUGGAGCAUGUGGUUUAAUUCGAUGCAACGCGAAGAACCUUACCUGGUCUUGACAUCCACAGAACUUUCCAGAGAUGGAUUGGUGCCUUCGGGAACUGUGAGACAGGUGCUGCAUGGCUGUCGUCAGCUCGUGUUGUGAAAUGUUGGGUUAAGUCCCGCAACGAGCGCAACCCUUAUCCUUUGUUGCCAGCGGUUCGGCCGGGAACUCAAAGGAGACUGCCAGUGAUAAACUGGAGGAAGGUGGGGAUGACGUCAAGUCAUCAUGGCCCUUACGACCAGGGCUACACACGUGCUACAAUGGCAUAUACAAAGAGAAGCGACCUCGCGAGAGCAAGCGGACCUCAUAAAGUAUGUCGUAGUCCGGAUUGGAGUCUGCAACUCGACUCCAUGAAGUCGGAAUCGCUAGUAAUCGUAGAUCAGAAUGCUACGGUGAAUACGUUCCCGGGCCUUGUACACACCGCCCGUCACACCAUGGGAGUGGGUUGAAAAAGAAGUAGGUAGCUUAACCUUCGGGAGGGCGCUUACCACUUUGUGAUUCAUGACUGGGGUGAAGUCGUAACAAGGUAACCGUAGGGGAACCUGCGGUUGGAUCACCUCCUUACCUUAAAGAA